GAGGCCUUCUUCCGCAAUCUUUAUGGCUUAGUUAGCUCGAAUAAUCAUAGCCAUUUAGAUUAAAUAGUUUUAUCUAUGAUAAUCAUUUUGUAAGAUAAAGCCCACAAAGUUUCCUUUCUCGCUUUCAAUCCCAAUGCACAACCUACAGAAUUGGAGGAGGACGAUCUGACGCAUUUAUAAUUGUAUAUUUUUAUAAAAGAGUAUAUGAACCGAAAAACUUCUAUAUCCGUCCGUCCAAUUCCUUUCUAAUAGCCAUUUUAAAAGAUAAGGACCUAUAUAUAAGUACUCCUUCAGUAGAAGAUUGGUUGAGAAAGAAAAAGUAUACACCACCUAGAUGGUAUAAUUAGAUCCUGAUACCCUCUAG
rnacentral:lncRNA from 1 species